rnacentral:rRNA from 1 species
GUGCACCAGUCGCGAAACCUCCGCAAUGCACGCAAGUGCGACGGGGGGACCCCAAGUGCCACUCUUAACGGGGUGGCUUUUCAGGAGUGUAAAAAGCUCCUGGGAUAAGGGCUGGGCAAGACCGGUGCCAGCCGCCGCGGUAACACCGGCAGCUCGAGUGGUAGCCGCGUUUAUUGGGCCUAAAGCGUCCGUAGCCGGUCCGAUAAGUCUCUGGUGAAAGCCCACAGCUCAACUGUGGGAAUCGCUGGAGAUACUAUCGGACUUGAGGCCGGGAGAGGCUGGAGGUACUCCCAGGGUAGGGGUGAAAUCCUAUAAUCCUGGGAGGACCACCUGUGGCGAAGGCGUCCAGCUGGAACGGACCUGACGGUGAGGGACGAAAGCCAGGGGCGCGAACCGGAUUAGAUACCCUCGUAGUCC